AUUGAACGCUGGCGGCAGGCCUAACACAUGCAAGUCGAGCGAGUGGCGGACGGGUGAGUAAUGUAUGGGGAUCUGCCCGAUGGAGGGGGAUAACUACUGGAAACGGUGGCUAAUACCGCAUACUAUCGGAUGUGCCCAGAUGGGAUUAGCUAGUAGGUGGGGUAAAGGCUCACCUAGGCGACGAUCUCUAGCUGGUCUGAGAGGAUGAUCAGCCACACGGGGACUGAGACACGGCCCAGACUCCUACGGGAGGCAGCAGUGGGGAAUAUUGCACAAUGGGCGCAAGCCUGAUGCAGCCAUGCCGCGUGUAUGAAGAAGGCCUUAGGGUUGUAAAGUACUUUCAGCGGGGAGGCGUUACCCGCAGAAGAAGCACCGGCUAACUCCGUGCCAGCAGCCGCGGUAAUUC
rnacentral:rRNA from 1 species